CUAAAGUUUUCCCUCCUGUGAUUAUUACAUCCUAAGGGUUAAACAGGAUCCUGGGGAAUAUUUAUACUUCGAAGAUUAAAUAGGAUUCCAAGGAAUAUUGUAUUUUGAGAGUAAUAGGAUUCCCGGGGGAAUUUGUCAACUUGGAGGUCAAAGGCUGAAAGAUCUCAUAUACGUGGAAACAUUCACAUAAGAACACCUUCUGUAGUAAAGAAUGGGAAACAAAGAAGUUACAGUACAGGUCAGGAGUUCUUAAACUUUUGGGAGGGGAAAGGGGGAAAGAAGGAGAAGGCCCUUUUGGCAUUCUGGUGAAGCCUAUGCAAUCCUCAGAAAAAAUAGUUAAAUGUACAAAAUUAUAUAGAAGUACAAAGGAAAUCAAUUAUACAGUAUGCCAAAAAUCUUCAUGUAUUUUAAUCAAUAAUUUAAUACCGCACAAAGACUUUGGGGAUACCUAAUAUUGAAAUAGUUAUUUUUUAUUUUUUAAAAUUCAUGGAUAUCAAGUUCAGAACCCCUGAUCUAGUACAACUUUGUUAAUUUUGCAUGGGAGGAAUCUGAGACCCAUAUUAAAGAUUCUUCCACAACACUAACAGAGGAACCCUAGGGCUUCAUCACACCAGGAAACUGUUGAAAAGGUGAUAGAAGAUGUGAACAGCCAAUUCUGGAGGCAUUGCUAAAAGAGAAAAUACAUUUGAAUGAGAUUGAGAUGAGCAAUUCACAUGUGAAGAAUUCACAAUGGUCUUUCUCCAUGUUCAAAAGAUUAGACAGGUACUGACUCAAGUCUGACAUCAUUUGAACACACCAUAUUGAAUAAUUACCUCAUUGAAUUUACUGAGAGAAUGAAUUUAUCUAAAAGGAAGAAAAAAUCAGCCCAGCUUACUGAUGCAUUGAAAAAGACAAAAAGCAUGUGCAACAUGUAAUAUCUGUGGAUCCCCCAACUCCAUGAAAGGAUCCUUUUUGAAUUCUUCCAAGAGAACCUUUUGAGAUGGAGACCAACUCAUAUCACCUUUUGGGGCUUCAUCUGGAGACAAUUUGCCUUUAGGAUCCUCAGGGUUUGAGUGAUGGAUGAGUGAACAUACAACUAGAAGAACUGAAUUACAGGGGGUGGAGCCAAGACAGAAGAAAGCAAAUACAACUUUCUGUGACCUUCUCUGACUUUUUCUCAAACCAAAAGCAGAUUAAGCUUCUAAACUGGUUUUGGAGUCAAAGAAUCCACAAAUAUUUGAAGUACAACACAUUUCUAGAAGCAAUUACUUUGGAAGAACUUCAGAACAGGUCUAUUUCAAACAAGCAGGGAGACAAUCUGCCAAGCCCAGACACAGGGAGACCAGAGCAAGAAGUGGGGGCUGGGAGUGAGAGCUUUAUAGCUUCCAAGCAUCUGAGAAUUUUCUGUCAACCUCUUAGGCCACUCUGUCCUGGUUGCAAGCAAGUGGUUUGGCAGAUUUGCCUUUUGUAAAAGGCAAAUUAUAAAUCACUGAGCCCUGGAAGAACAUUGGACAUAUCCGCCAUUACCCAGCACUGUAAAUCAAUCAGUAGAACUACCCCAGGGCAAAUUAAAGCAGCCAUCAUUCCUUUGCAUUGCACAGACCUCAAGGCUUAAAAAAAUGAAUAAAAAACAAAAAAGAGCUCUCACCAUAGACAGAUUUUAUGGAGAGAGAGAAGAGACCUCAAAUCCUGAGGUUCCUAAAAACAAAAACAAUUUCAGAUAAAGCUCAAACGGGAGAGGUGAGCUGCUACCCAUUUCAUAAGGCUUUCUUGGAAACUUGCAUAAAGGAUCUUAAAAGAGAGAAGAAAAAUGGGAAAAUGAAAUGAAAUCAUGGCAAGAAGGAAUGGAAAAAGCAUAUAAUGCCCUACAAAAGAGAUAUGAAAAAGACACCAAUUCAGUGAAAACAAAAUUUGUGAAAUAGAAAAAGAAGCAAUGAACAAAAAAUUUCAAUUGGCCAAUUACAAAAGGAGCUUUAAAAAAAAGGUAACUGAAGAAAAUACACUAAAAAUUAGAAUUGAACAAUGGAAGUGAAUGACUCAAUAAGAAUUCAAGAAUCAGUCAAACAAAAAAAAUGAAAAAAAAAAUAGAAGAAAAUAUGAAAUACCUCCCAGGAAAAAUAACUGACCUGAAAAAUACAUCUAGGAGAGACAAUUUAAGGAUUAUUGGACUUCCUGAAAGCUAUGAUGAAAAAAAGAACCUAGACAUUAUCUUAUAGGAAAUCAUAAAAGAAAACUGCCCUGAUAUUUUAGAAUCAGAAAGUAAAAUAACCAUGGAAAGAAUUCACCAAUCACCUCCUGAAACACACCUCCAAAUUAAAAUACCUAAGGAAUAUUGUGGCUGAAUUUCAGAAUUAUCACACCAAGGGAAAAAAUAUUGCAACCAUCCACAAAGAAACCAUUUAAAUACGAGGAGUCACAAUUAGGAUUAACCAGGAUUUAGCAGCUUCUACCUUAAAGGAUCAAAGGGCCUGAAAUCUAAUAUUCUGAAAGGCAAAGGAACUUGGAUUUCAGCCAAGAAUAAGCUAUCCAGCUAAUAUGAGCAUUAUCUUUCAAUGAUAUAGGUGAAUUUCACCUAUUUCUAAUGAAAAGACCAGAAUUUGAUCUCCAAACAUAGAACUCAAGAGAAGCAUAAAAAGAUAAAAAGGAAAGAGCUCUUGAGAACUAUAGUUCUGUUAUGGGUAUACUUAGAGAAUGCAGGUAUAAUUUGAUUUUAUUAGAUGAUAUGAAAAAGAAAUUAGAGGUGGAUCAUAUUGGAAAAAAGAGGAAUAAGGAGGUAAAAUAAGGGAAAUUACAUCUCAGAAAGAGGCAAAGAAAACCUAUUAUAAUUGAAGGAAAGAAGGGAGGGAGAUGAGCAUUGUGGGAAUCUUGCUCUCAUCAGAUUUGGCUCUAAGAGAGAAUAUCAGACACAUUUGGUUUCACAGAGAAACUUGUCUCACCUUAUAGGGAAGUAGGACAGAAAGGGGGAAAAGAAAGGGAAAGAUUAAUAGAAGGGAAGAAAGGAAAAUUGGGGGAAAGGUGUAAAAAAGGAGGAGGGGCUCUAAAGGAACUAGGAACUAUAUGAGCAAAAGUAUAAAACACUUUCCACAAAAAUAAAAUCAGAUCUAAACAAUUGGAAAAAUAUCAAGUGCUCUUGGAUAGGUUGAGGGAAUAUAAUAAAGAUGACAAUCCUACCUAAAUUAAUCUACUUCUUUAAUGCUAUAUCAAUCAACCCCCCAAGAAGCUAUUUUACUGACUUAGAAAAAACAACAAAAAAAUUCAUCUGGAAGAACAAAAGGUCAAGAAUUUCAAAGGAAUUAAUGAAAAAAAAAAAAAAAAAGCAAAUGAAGAUGGCCUAGCUGUACCAGAUCUAAAACUAUAUUAUAAAGCAGAGUCAUCAAAACAAUUUAGUACUGGCUAAUAAAUAGAGUAAUUGAUCAGUGGAAUAGGUUAGAUUCACAAGACAAAAUAGUUAAUGACUCUAGUGAUCUAGUGUUUGGCAAACCCAAAGACCCCAGCUUUUGGCAUAAGAAUUCACUAUUUGACAAAAACUGUUGUGAAAAUUGGAAACUAAUAUGGCAGAAACUAGGCAUUGACCCCACCUAACACUGUAUAUCAAUAUAAAGUCGAAAUGUAGACAUAAACAAUGAUAUUAAAGGAAAGAAUUUGUGACCAAAAAAGAACUAGAGGUCAUUAUUGAUCACAAAAUAAAUAAUUUUGAUUAUAUUAAGUUUUUAUACAAACAAAACUAUUUCAGACAAGAUUAGAAGGGAAGCAAUAAACUGGGAAAACAUUUUUACAUUCAAAGGCUCUGAUAAAGGCUUCAUUUCUAAAAUAUAUAGAGAAUUGACUCAAAUUUAUAAUAGUUCAAGCCAUUCUCCAACUAAUAAAUGGUUAAAGGAUAUGAACAGAUAAUUUUCAGAUGAAGAAAUUGAAACAAUUUCUAGUUAUAUGAAAACAUGCUCCAAAUCACUAUUGAUCAGAGAAAUACAAAUUAAGACAACUCUGAGAUACUACUACACACCUGUCAGAUUGGCUAAGAUGACAGGAAAAGAUAACAAAUAUUGGAGGGAAUGUAGGAAAACUGGGACACUGAUACAUUGUUGGUGGAACUGUGAAUAGAUCCAGAACCAAGUGUUCUGGAGAACACUUUGGAACUAUGUUCAAAAAGUUAUCAAACUAUACAUACACUUUGAUCCAACAGUAUUUCUACUGGGCUUAUAUCCCAAAGAGAUCUUAAAGGAAGGAAAGGGAUCUACAUGUUUAAAAAUGUUUGUGGCAGCCCUGUUUGUAGUGGCUAGAAACUGGAAACUGAAUGGAUGCCCAUCCAUUGGAGAAUGGCUGAAUAAAUUAUGGUAUAUGAAUGUUAUGGAAUAUUGUUCUAAGAAACAACAAGCAGGAUGAUUUCAGAGAAGCCUGGAGAGCCUUACAUGAACUAAUGCUAAGUGAAAUGAACAGAACCAGGAGAUCAUUAUACAUAGCAACAAGACUAUACAAUGAUCAAUUCUGAUGGACAUGGCUCUCUUCAACAAUGAGAUGAUUCAAACCAGUUUCGAUUGUUUAGUGAUGAAGAGAGCUAUAAACACCCAGAGAGAAGACUGUGGGAAUUGAGUGUGGACCACAACAUAGUAUUUUCUCUCUUUCUGUUGAUGUUUGCCUGCAUUUUGUUUUCUUUCUCGUUUUUUUUUCCUUCUUGAUUUGAUUUUUUUUUUUUUUUGGUCCAGGAAGAUAAAUGUGUGUACAUAUAUUGGAUUUAACAUAUAUUUUAACAUAUUUAACAUGUAUUGGAUUACCUGCCACCUAGGGGAAGAGGAGGAGAAAGGAAGGGAAAAUUUGGAACAGCAAGUUUUGCAAGGGUCAGUAUUGAAAAAUUACCCAUGCAGAUGUUUUGUAAAUAAAAAGCUUUAAUAAAAAUUUUAAAAGCCCAAAGAAUUGAAUUGCAUCAAACAUAAGAAAAUACAUCGGUAUUUAAUACUUCAACACAACAGAAAUGGGCAAGGAUGCCAAAAAGAAAAGUUAGAAAAUAUGGUUCAUUAGUCAGACCCUUUCAGUAUUAUGCCCAUUGUUCAUCAUUUUUCCCGAUUUUCUGGGUGUGACAUAGGUGAAAAUGAAUUGUUUUAACUGAGAGAAGUGAAACUGGUCAGAUAAGGCAAGAGAGAAUCAUAUCAACUGUCUUAAAGCAUUUGAAGGACUGUUAUUAUGGUGGAAAGAUUAGUCUUUCUCUGUUUGGCCCCAGAAAGCAGAAUGAUUGGAUAUAAGUUACAAAAAGGCAAAUUUAGGCUUGAUGCCCUUAACAAUGAGAUUUAUCCAAGUGUAGAGUGACUAGUUUGGAGAGGUGGUUUCCCGCUCCUUAGAAGUCAUCAGGUAAUGUUUGAAUUUAACCAAUUGUCAGGUGUAUUAUAAUGAAGAUCCUUUCCUAUCCACGUUAUACUAGAGAGUUGCUGAAGUCGUUUCCAAUUCUCAACUUCAAUAAUGAAUUUUCUUUCUAUUCAUUAGUGAUUUGGAUCACAAUUUCUUAGAGGGGCAUUGAUGAUUUGUAAUUCUUUUGAAAAUUGUUCAUCAUUUAGGAAUGGCUCUUGGUCUAAUUGUCUAUAUCUUGAAUAUUAGACUUUUAUCAGAGAUACCUCAUGCAAAUUCAUCAAUUUAAUUAGUUGUUCACCUCACAUGCUACCUCUUUUUUCUUUAGCUCCUGCCUUCAACUAAUAUUGGUAAUAAAAAUAGUACAUGUGUUCCAAAGUACUUGUGCUUCCAUACCCAGAACUUUACAAAUAAUUAUACCUCCAUUAUUUCUAUUAAUAUCACCAGGAGCAUCACCAGAAAGAAGAUCUGAGUUUAAAUGCAACUUCAGAUAUUUAUUAGCAUUGAACAAGUCUUGAUUAAUUUUUUUGGCUGCAAUCUCCCUAUAUGUAAAAAUAAGGAUAACUAAUAGUACCUACCUCCUAGGAUUCUUGUGAGGAUCAGUAAGUAAAAUAAUCACUGUGAAACACUUAUUACAUAGUACAUACUGGAACAUAGAAACAUUAAAUAAAUAUUAGCUAUCAUUAUCAUAUGUCUCAAGGUGGCAUGUCUCAGGAGGUUCUUUACAUGUUUGAGAUACAUUCCCGGAGGCUGGAAGACACUUUCUCUUCACUCCUUUGCAGAAAGAAGUAGGAAGUCCAUGAGGGUAGAACCCAUUUCAAACUUUUUGAUGUAAAGUUGCAUUUGUUGAUUUUUUUCUAUGAUUCCUCUUUUUUUUCUUUAAAAAAUUAUUUGUUAUGUAGAUUGACUCUCUGGAAAGGGAAGGUAGAGGGAUCCUGGGAGAAUUUCUGGUGAUGUAAACAACAAAUGCUAGCAAUACAAUAUUAUUUUAAAAAGACAAAGAAUUGUCGCCUACUAUGAUCUAUCCUUUCCUUCUGUGACACAUACUAAAUGUGUUCUUUAUUCACCAUCAGUACAAAAGAGGAAGACUUCUAUGAGAACAUUAAACUUACUGUAGAGUUACAGCAGUUCAGGGCCCAUUCUUUUCUUCUCUUUGUUCUACUGACCAAACUCUUGGGGGUGAGUCUGGAUUCCCUUCUGUGCCUCAUCGGUUAUUUCCCCCUCAUUUCUCUCUUAUAGUACUUCUUUUUUUUCCCAAAGAACAUUUCAUUCACUCUGAUAAACCAACAACACACAGGGAACAAGGAGGCAUCCCUUCUCAACCUUUCCUUCUUUAAGAAAGUAACCUGCAUUUUAUGUACAUGCAGUUAAUGUUUAGCAUUGUAAGAAAUACAAACAAUUCAAUCUCUUCUCUCUCCUCUCCACUUGAAAGUAUUUUAUUUUUUACAAUUAUAUAUAUAGUUUUUUACAUUUAUUUUUGUAACAUUUUGAGUUCCAAUUUUUUUUCUCCCUCCCUCCUUCACCUCCCCCCUUCCCAAGACAGCAAGCAUUCUGAUGUAGGUUAUAUAUGUACAAUCAUUUUGAACAUAUUUCCACAUUAGUUAUAUUGUGAAAGAAAAAUCAGAACAAAAAAGGAAAAAAAAUACACAAGAAAGGAAAAACAAAAAGAAGAUGAAAAUAGUAAGCAUUGAUCUGCAUUCAGUCUCUGUUGGUAUACAGGCCCACCUGACAGUGGCUGCUGGAGAUCCAAUCCAGACCUGCAGAAUGGAUCUCCUUGUGUGAGAGGAUGAUACAAGGAACCUGAGAGACCGUUGCAUUGUUUGACCUCUCUUCUUUUCCCUCUGCUUCCAAUUUAUUUCAUUCCCAGUCCACAACACCUGUUUCAGCAAAGACUGCUUUGCAACUUUUUCAGAUGUUAUGAUCCACAGCUGUGGAACUCUCAGAGAAUUGACCUGUCCCUUAACAAUUCCCUGUUUUUGUAAGAGCACUGUGAGGAAUGCAAGCAGCACUAUCAUGGAGGCAAACUUUCAAACUGAGAAGAGGAUUAGAGUCAGAAAAGGCAUUUAAGUCUCUUAUCAGACUCCUGCCUCUGCCCUUUGAUGUGUUGGCCCAUUUAAUUAUCUGGACUAAAAAAAUUUUACUGGGGCUCUUCUUCCUUUCCUUCCCCAUAGGUUAUUGAAGGAACUUCAGAAGGAUCCUACUCACAGACAGCUCUUGAAUGCUGCUGCUGCUUCUUGUAUGCCCCACAUUCAGGAGCCAAGUCUCCAUAGUUUUUCCUCUGGAUAGAGAUGGCAUUUUCCAUGCUAAAUCUAUUAGAAUUAUCUUGGAUCAUUGUAUUGCUGAGAAGAGCUAAAUCUAUCACAGUUGAUCUUCAAACAAGUUUGCUGUUACUGUGUACAAUGUUCUGGUUCUGCUCACUUCCUUCAGUAACAGUUUAUGUAAAUCUUUCCAGAUUUUUUUCGAAAUCAGCCUGAUCAUUAUUUCUCAUAGAAUAAUAGCAUUCCAUUACAUUCAUAUGCCACAACUCACUCAGUCAUUCCUCAGUUGAUGGCAUGGAAAUUGAGUGGAUGUUCAUGUGGAAUGCCUGAAUGCAAUCUCUUAUGUCAUGGGAAAAUUCUAUAUUUGUAGAAAUUUGUCGAAAAUAAAAGGUUCAGCAGUUCUCCAUCACUUUGGCUGUUAGCUAACUAAAGCUGAACUCUUUUUGUUGUUGUUGAUCAGUUAUUUCAGUCAUGUGACUUUUUUUUGACUCCAUUUGUUAAAGAAAGGGUUUGCCAUUACUUAUUCUAGCUCAUUUUACAGAUGAGGAAACUAAAGUUUGAGUGAGUUGCUCAGGUCACACAGCUAACCAAGUGUCUAAGGCCCAAUUUGAAUCAGGACUAACUGUCCCCAAUUUUUUUUUUUUACUGUGCCUUUUUUGGGGACAAGGUUGGUUGGUGGAAGGAGGAGUGAAGGAAAUUCUUGAGAAAUUUUUUAAUGAAAUCAAAUUUCCAUCCACUUCCUUUCUUAUCUGUUACCACUGAUCAAAUAUCAGAUGUAAUCAACUUAUAAUUUUUGCCUUUUCAUUUUAUCUUUUGUGCCUUUGCUGUCAGUAUAGUCCUGUAUCCUUCUUCUUUUGAUCCCACUAUUUUUAAGGCAUAAAUCUAGUCUCACUUCUCCCAUUAGGCUUUUUUUUUUGAACUAUCCUAAUCUUAGAUCUUUUUCCUCAAGCUUAAGCAUAUUGCCCUUACUGUUCAUUCCUUUAAUAAAUAUUUCUUAUGACCAAGAGGAUGAUUUCAGAAAGGCCUGGAGAGACUUACACGAACUGAUGCUAAGUGAAACGAGCAGGGCCAGGAGAUCAUUAUAUACUUCAACAACAAUACUAUAUGAUGACCAAUUCAGAUGGACCUGGCUAUCCUCAGCAAUGAGAUGAACCAAACCAGUUCCAAUGGAGCAAUAAUGAACUGAACCAGUUACGCCCAGCAAAAUAACUCUGGGAGAUGACUAAGAACCAUUACAUUGAAUUUCCGAUCCCUAUAUUUUUGCCUGCCAGCAUUCUGGAUUUCCUUCACAGGCUAAUUGUACAAUAUUUUAGAGUCCGAUUCUUUUUGUACAGCAAAAUAAUGGUUUGGUCAUAUAUAUUUAUUAUGUAUCUAAUUUAUACUUUAAUAUAUUUAACAUCUACUGGUCAUCCUGCCAUCUAGGGGAGAGGGUGGGGGGAAGGAGGGGAAAAAUUGGAACAAAAGGUUUGGCAAUUGUCAAUGCUGUAAAAUUACCCAUACAUAUAACUUGUAAAUAAAAGGCUAUUAAAAAAAUAAAUAAAUAUUUCUUGAACACUUGUUCAGUUCAAGGAAGUAUAAGAACCAUUGUAUUCCCAGGAAAUAAAGACCAAGAUACUUUGGUCCCUUCUCAAGGAAACCAUAGGAAAAGGGAAAGGUGAGAUGAUUAUGUAAUAUAUUAGCAGAGAAGGAACAUCUCUAUUUUGCUGCAUGACUUUAUCUAAGUGAGCUCUAAGCCUCUUCUUGUAUCAAAAUUCUACAAUAUCCCUUGAUAAGAAUAAUUCUUGCUAUAUAUAGUUCAGUUUCUUUAUCAUUAAUUUUUAUAAUUCAUUACAAGAAACAGUUAAUCCCACAAGAGUUAUCCAAUGUUUAAGAGCUUGCUAAACUCCAUUAUAUGUUUAAGAAUAAAGACUUUCUUUUGUUUGGUGCUUAAAAUGGAAAA